ensembl:misc_RNA 7SK 7SK RNA
AGAUAAGAGGGCAAUCUGGCUGCAACAUCUGUCACUUCUUUGAUUGCCAGGAUUGAUUCAGCUAAUCUGACUGGCUAGGUGGGUGUCCUCUUCCUCCCUCACUGCUCCAUGUGCAUCCCUCUAGAAGCUACAUGCUUUGUCAAAGAGGACAACCACCUCAAUAGAAGAGGACCAUUUCCUUGGUCAAGCAUAUACGAAUAAUAGGGAUUCCCCUGCUAAAAUCUCCAAACAAGUUUUCAAAUGUAUACAUACUUCCUUAUCCUCUCCUCUCAUAUCCAGACUCAUGGAUAUAAAUGUGUAAUAGGCAUCACAAAUUUCAAAAUACAAAAAGAGAAUCUGCUAU